AUGAAGGCAUUAAUAGGAAUCUUGCUGGGCUUCCUGUGGAUACAGAUUUGCUCGCAAAUGAAAGUGGAGCAGAGUCCUCACGUCCUGAUCCUCCAAGAGGGAAGAAAUUCAUUCCUGGUGUGCAGUUGUUCUAUUUACAUGAUCCGUGUGCAGUGGUUUCAUCAAAAGCCUGGAGGACCCCUCAUGUCCUUAUUUAACAUUAAUUCAGGAAUACAGCAAAAAAGAAGACUAAAAUCCGCAGUCAAAGCUGAGGAACUUUAUGGCCACCUAUACAUCAGAUUCCCAGCCUGAGGACUCAGCUAUUUACUUCUGUGCUGUGGGGA